rnacentral:rRNA from 1 species
GAAAACAUUCACUGGAACUUAACCACCUCUAGGGCAUACUUUGCUGGCUCUGCCUACAGCGCACAAUUCUUUGGCUCCUACUCACGUUUCAACACGGCCAAGGUUUGGUAUGCAAACGCUGAGCCCAAAUGCAAGUUCUUUGCCUGGCUAGCUCUACACGGAAGAAUCCUCACUGCGGAUAUGCUGGCUGUGAGGAGAUGGCCUCAUGACCUGAGGUGCCUGCUUUGUCUUCAGCAGCCAAAAACAAAAACUCACCUCUGCAAGGACUGUCCCUUCACGGUCGCGGUCUGGAACCAGGUGAACACAUAG